CGGUUCGAGUCCGCUUACCUCCACUGAUUAGCCUCCUGAUAACGAACUCGAAGGAGAUUGGCUUUGUUUUGUUGUGACUAAGACGUUGUUCAACCGCAUGAACCUAGCUUCUUAUCAUUCCGAUCCAUAAUGUAAAAAUCGGGUUGAUAUGAUGCUGGGCUCACUGAAAUUUUACGAUUUCAGAGAUGCUCAGUA
rnacentral:misc_RNA from 1 species